GGCCAGGUGGCAGAGCGGUCAAAUGCACCAGACUGUAAAUCUGGCGGGCUAUGCCCUACGCAGGUUCAAAUCCUGCCCUGGCCA
rnacentral:tRNA from 1 species